rnacentral:rRNA from 1 species
CUGUUUAUCAAAAACANGGCUUUUUGUAUAUAAUUUAAAGUCUGACCUGCCCACUGAAGUUUUAAAGGGCCGCGGUAACUUGACCGUGCUAAGGGAGCANAAUCAUUAGUUUUUUAANUGAAAGCUGGUAUGAAUGGUUUGAUGAGAAAAUAACNGUCUNUGAUUUAUUUUAAUNGAAUUUUAUAUUUAAGUAAAAAAGCUUAAAUUUUUUUAAAAGACGAGAAGACCCUAUAGAGUUUUAUAAAUUUAAAUUUUAGUACUUUUAGGAUUUUUACUUUUAAAAUUUGAAUUUAUUUGAUUGGGGUGAUUGAAAAAUUUAGUAAACUUUUUUUUUAUUAGAAUAUUGAUGAGUAAGUUUUUGAUCCAUUAAUAAUGAUUAUAAGAUUAAAUUACCUUAGGGAUAACAGCGUAAUUUUUUUUGAGAGUUCAAAUCGAAAGAAAAGAUUGCGACCUCGAUGUUGGAUUAAAAUUAAUUUUUGGUGUAGAGGCUAAGAAU